rnacentral:rRNA from 1 species
GUGAGGAAUUUUCCGCAAUGGGCGAAAGCCUGACGGAGCAAUGCCGCGUGAAGGAUGAAGGCCUAUGGGUUGUAAACUUCUUUUCUCAGAAAAGAAUUAUGACGGUAUCUGAGGAAUAAGCAUCGGCUAACUCUGUGCCAGCAGCCGCGGUAAGACAGAGGAUGCAAGCGUUAUCCGGAAUGAUUGGGCGUAAAGCGUCUGUAGGUUGUUUAAAAAGUAUUCUGUCAAAGAUUAGGGCUUAACCCUAGAUAGGCAGAAUAAACUUUUAAGCUAGAGUUUGGUAGAGGCAGAGGGAAUUCCCGGUGGAGCGGUGAAAUGCGUAGAUAUCGGGAGGAACACCAAAGGCGAAGGCACUCUGCUGGGCCAAUACUAACACUGAGAGACGAAAGCGAGGGGAGCAAAUGGGAUUAGAUACCCUGGUAGUUCC